rnacentral:rRNA from 1 species
GAGGAAAAGAAAUCAACCGAGAUUCCCCCAGUAGCGGCGAGCGAACGGGGAGCAGCCCAGAGCCUGAAUCAGUAUGUGUGUUAGUGGAAGCGUCUGGAAAGGCGCGCGAUACAGGGUGACAGCCCCGUACACAAAAAUGCACAUGCUGUGAGCUCGAUGAGUAGGGCGGGACACGUGGUAUCCUGUCUGAAUAUGGGGGGACCAUCCUCCAAGGCUAAAUACUCCUGACUGACCGAUAGUGAACCAGUACCGUGAGGGAAAGGCGAAAAGAACCCCGGCGAGGGGAGUGAAAAAGAACCUGAAACCGUGUACGUACAAGCAGUGGGAGCACGCUUAGGCGUGUGACUGCGUACCUUUUGUAUAAUGGGUCAGCGACUUAUAUUCUGUAGCAAGGUUAACCGAAUAGGGGAGCCGAAGGGAAACCGAGUCUUAACUGGGCGUUAAGUUGCAGGGUAUAGACCCGAAACCCGGUGAUCUAGCCAUGGGCAGGUUGAAGGUUGGGUAACACUAACUGGAGGACCGAACCGACUAAUGUUGAAAAAUUAGCGGAUGACUUGUGGCUGGGGGUGAAAGGCCAAUCAAACCGGGAGAUAGCUGGUUCUCCCCGAAAGCUAUUUAGGUAGCGCCUCGUGAAUUCAUCUCCGGGGGUAGAGCACUGUUUCGGCAAGGGGGUCAUCCCGACUUACCAACCCGAUGCAAACUGCGAAUACCGGAGAAUGUUAUCACGGGAGACACACGGCGGGUGCUAACGUCCGUCGUGAAGAGGGAAACAACCCAGACCGCCAGCUAAGGUCCCAAAGUCAUGGUUAAGUGGGAAACGAUGUGGGAAGGCCCAGACAGCCAGGAUGUUGGCUUAGAAGCAGCCAUCAUUUAAAGAAAGCGUAAUAGCUCACUGGUCGAGUCGGCCUGCGCGGAAGAUGUAACGGGGCUAAACCAUGCACCGAAGCUGCGGCAGCGACGCUGAUGCGUUGUUGGGUAGGGGAGCGUUCUGUAAGCCUGCGAAGGUGUGCUGUGAGGCAUGCU